rnacentral:tRNA from 1 species
GGGCGAUUAGCUCAGUUGGCUAGAGCGCAUGGAUCACAACCAUGAGGUCACAGGUUCGAAUCCUGUAUCGCCCACCA